rnacentral:rRNA from 1 species
CUUUAUCGGAGAGUUUGAUCCUGGCUCAGGACGAACGCUGGCGGUGUGCCUAAUACAUGCAAGUCGAGCGCGUGAAACCAGUUGAUUCCCUUCGGGGAUGACACUGGUGGAUCGAGCGGCGGACGGGUGAGUAACACGUGGGCAACCUGCCCUGCAGAUCGGGAUAACCCCGGGAAACCGGGGCUAAUA